rnacentral:rRNA from 1 species
GAUGAACGCUAGCUAUAGGCUUAACACAUGCAAGUCGAGGGGAAACGGCAUUAUGUGCUUGCACAUUCUGGACGUCGACCGGCGCACGGGUGAGUAUCGCGUAUCCAACCUUCCCUCCACUCGGGGAUACCCCGUUGAAAGACGGCCUAAUACCCGAUGUUGUCCACAGAUGGCAUCUGACGUGGACCAAAGAUUCAUCGGUGGAGGAUGGGGAUGCGUCUGAUUAGCUUGUUGGUGCGGGUAACGGCCCACCAAGGCGACGAUCAGUAGGGGUUCUGAGAGGAAGGUCCCCCACAUUGGAACUGAGACACGGUCCAAACUCCUACGGGAGGCAGCAGUGAGGAAUAUUGGUCAAUGGACGUAAGUCUGAACCAGCCAAGUAGCGUGCAGGAUUGACGGCCCUAUGGGUUGUAAACUGCUUUUGUUGGGGAGUAAAGUGGGGCACGUGUGCCUUUUGCAUUACC